rnacentral:lncRNA from 1 species
CCACAGACCCUUCUGCAGAGAGAAGGGCCAAAGUGGAGCCUCUUUGGACUUAGAUAGAAAUCUGCCACUAGGGGAUGUAACACUUGGUGCUCACUGGAUUCUGACUGCACCACUCUCCCGCUGAGGGUUAAGUAUGUUUGGCACACAGCUUUCCUAUGCCCAGUAACAACUUUAAAGAAGAGAUAAAUCCUGGAACCAGCGGGCAGACCUUUGAUUCUCACCAGAGGUGGUGGCUUCUGGGAAAUGAUGUCUCUCCUUCAGCUCCAGGGUGUCUACAGAGGCUGUGGCCAAAGGGUCGUUGGAAGUUAAUGUGUCAAGUCAACUUGAAUUCUGAGUGUGAAGCACAACUUUGCAAACCCUGGAACGAAUUCAGAGGCACAAACUAACUUUAGGGAUCCAGAGCCCUAGGCACCUACUGCAGUGUCUGGGAAAAGAAAGCAAGGUAUGGAAGGCAGGUAGGCCUUGAGGGGUGCAGUCCAUCCGUGGAGGACAUGGAACACCUUCAGGACCAGAAGUUCUCCAGAGUCUAGAAAACAAUUAAGAAGAAGACAAAGGAAAGAAGCUAAGGGCCUCCAUCUGAACAACUUGUCUGGAUGUCAAGGACAGAAACGUCACCGGAACAGAAAGGCCCCUGCACACUGCUCCUGUCAGGCCAGGCCAGGCUGCACUAGGGAAGGGGGACAGGAUAGACAUUUGUAAACUGUGGUCCAGUGUUUCCACGUGUGACUUGUCACUAUUAAACAAGUACAGAAUAAAAAUGU